rnacentral:rRNA from 2 species
AGAGUUUGAUCCUGGCUCAGGAUGAACACUGGCGGCAUGCUUAACACAUGCAAGUCGAAUGGGAAGUGGUGUUUCCAGUGGUGAACGGGUGAGUAACGCGUAAGAACCUGCCCUUGGGAGGGGAACAACAACUGGAAACGGUUGCUAAUACCCCGUAGGCUGAGGAGCAAAAGGAGAAAUUCGCCCAAGGAGGGGCUCGCGUCUGAUUAGCUAGUUGGUGAGGUAAUAGCUUACCAAGGCGAUGAUCAGUAGCUGGUCCGAGAGGAUGAUCAGCCACACUGGGACUGAGACACGGCCCAGACUCCUACGGGAGGCAGUAGUGGGGAAUUUUCCGCAAUGGGCGAAAGCCUGCCGGAGCAACGCCGCGUGGAGGUGGAAGGCCUACGGGUCGUCAACUUCUUUUCUCGGAGAAAAACAAUGACGGUAUCUGAGGAAUAAGCAUCGGCUAACUCUGUGCCAGCAGCCGUGGUAAGACAGAGGAUGCAAGCGUUAUCCGGAAUGAUUGGGCGUAAAGCGUCUGUAGGUGGCUUUUCAAGUCCGCCGUCAAAUCCCAGGGCUCAACCCUGGACAGGCGGUGGAAACUACCAAGCUAGAGUACGGUAGGGGCAGAGGGAAUUUCCGGUGGAACGGUGAAAUGCAUUGAGAUUAGAUAGAACACCAACGGCGAAAUCACUCUGUUGGGCCGUCAUUGACACUGAGAGACGAAAGCUAGGGGAGCAAAUGGGAUUAGAGACCCCAGUAGUCCUAGCCGUACACUAUGGAUACUAGGGACCUUGGACGCAAAUGUUUUUUCUAGUUUGGAACCAUGCGUACGGGAUUUGUUUUUCAACUCUUGCGUGCCUUUUUUCUUACUCUUGAUAUAUUGUUGAUAAACUUUGUUUAGUAUUUUCGGACGGUUGAUGGUAUCAAGCUCUAAGGCUUGAUUGAGAAGGAUUUUGCUACAUGGCACUCAGAUAAUCAUGGAAUUUUCUCUAUGAUAACCGUAUAUCGAAGAACAUAUGCACACUCUCUAAAAAAACCUAAAAAAAAUAGAUGCACACUCUGAUGUAACAACGCCGCCGCUCACACAAAGGUCAUCUAGCCGCUAGCUUUCAUGUGCUUCAUACCUGCGUCGGUCUGCCUCGUCUCCGUGGCCUUUAGGGCAAUGGAGGUGUGGUGGAUCCCAGCCCUUACCGGCGGCACUUCGUUUUUUGUUGUCUUUAUGAUUUUUUAGGGGUUUAUGUUCUGCUUAGAGAGGUGAGGCGGUGAUGGCUCUUUGAAGAUGGAAUAAGAUUUUCCUUCUCUAACCCCUGUCUCGGCAGUGU